CCGDACAANCGGUGGAGUAUGUGGAAUAAUUCGAUGCAAGCAAAGAACCUUACCUGGCCUUAACAUGCACGGAAYUUUCCAAAGAUGGAUUGGUGGCUCGGGUACCGUGACACAGGUGCUGCAUGGCUGUCGUCAGCUCGUGUCGUGAGAUGUUGGGUAAGUCCCGCAACGAGCGCAACCCUCGUCCUUAGUUGCCAGCACGUAAUGGUGGGAACUUAAGGAGACCGCCGGCBACAAGCCGGAGGAAGGUGGGGAUGGCGUCAAGUCAUCAUGGCCUUACGGCCAGGGCUACACACGUACUACAAUGGUGGGBAKAGAGGGCUGCAKACUCGCGGAGUGAGCCAAUCCCABAAACCCUAUKUCAGUCCGGAUUGGAGUCUGCAACUCGACUCCUGAAGUCGGAAUCGCUAGUAAUCGCAGAUCAGCAUUGCUGCGGUGAAUACGUUCCCGGGCUUGUACACACCGCCCGUCACACCAUGGGAGUDUGUUGCACCAGAKGCAGGUAGCUUAACGCAAGGGGGGCGCUUGCCACGGUGUGGCCGAUSACUGGGGUG
rnacentral:rRNA from 1 species